rnacentral:rRNA from 1 species
UCAAUCCAAGAAAUUGGGAAUAUGGUACCAUUGUAUUAGCGACAAACAAAGUGCCAGCAGUCGCGGUCAUACUUUAGCUAAAAGGAAAGAAGAUCAGAGUACUUUAAGUAUAAGCAAGUUAAUGUGGUGAAAUAUUUAUCUUUCUACUAACAUACUUUUUCUGCCCACAAAAACUGACGUCAAACAGGGAUUAGAUACCCCUCUAUGCGGUACCCAUUAACCUAUUCUGGGCACUACAACCACUAGGUUCAAACCCAAAUAAUAUGGCGGUAGUUCGAAUAUUUAGGGGAACUUACUAAAUAAAUGAUAACCACCAAGAGCACAUACGUUAGUUAACUUUUAUUUUACAUACCGUCGUCGUCAGAUAUUCUAUAAUAGAGCGUCGUAAUAUAUAAAUAAAAAGACAGAUCAAGGUGUAGACUACACUAACGAUUAAGCGAGUUACUAUAAAACCUUUAUUCACUUCACGGCUUUAAUGUUGUUACCUGAAGGACUUAAAAGUAAUAAAUAUUAAGUAUAUUUUAUGAAUACCUCUUGAACUGUGCACAAAUCGCCCGUCACUCUCGAAGUUAUUCGAGAUAAGUCGUAACAAAGUAGAGGUAGCGGAAGCUGUCUCUAG